GGACUACUCGGGUUUCUAAUCCCGUUCGCUCCCCACGCUUUCGUGCCUCAGCGUCAGAAUCGGCCCAGCUGCCUGUCUUCACCAUCGGCGUUCCUCUAGAUAUCUACGCAUUUCACCGCUCCACCUAGAGUUCCAGCAGCCUCUACCGACCUCAAGGCCCGCAGUAUGCCAAGCCAUUCCACGGUUAAGCCGUGGGAUUUCACAAAGCACUUGCGAGCCCGCCUACGCACCCUUUAAGCCCAGUGACUCCGAUUAACGCUCGAGACCUCUGUAUUACCGCGGCUGCUGGCAC
rnacentral:rRNA from 2 species